AUGACCUUCAUCAUCAUCUUCAUCUGGACUCUCACAGCGUUUGCUCAAGAGUGUAGAGGACAGAUCACCGUCACUCAGAGUCCCUCAAUAACAGCAGAACAACCAGGAGGAACUGUCAAUAUCAAAUGUAAAACCAGCACAGAUGUGUACAGAUGGGAUGAUGGGGAUGAAAGUUUAUUCUGGUACUUACAGAAACCUGGAGAAGCUCCUAAACUCCUGAUUCGUUACGUAAAAACCCUCGAGUCAGAAACUCCAUCUAGAUUCAGUGGCAGUGGAUCUAACAGUGAUUUCACUCUGAGCAUCAGUGGAGUCCAGACUGAAGAUGCUGGACAUUAUUACUGUCAGAGUUUCCACUGCAGAACAGAUUCUGAUAAUGAUUGUGUGGGUGAUCGUGUGUUCACACAGUGA